rnacentral:rRNA from 1 species
CCUACGGGAGGCAGCAGUAGGGAAUAUUGUGCAAUGGGCGAAAGCCUGACACAGCCAUGCCGCGUGUGUGAAGAAGGCCCUAGGGUUGUAAAGCACUUUCAGUGGCGAAGAAAAACCCCAUGCUAAUACCAUGGGGCGUUGACGUUAACCACAGAAGAAGUACCGGCUAACUCCGUGCCAGCAGCCGCGGUAAUACGGAGGGUACGAACGUUAAUCGGAAUUACUGGGCGUAAAGCGCGCGUAGGCGGUUCGUUAAGUGAGGUGUGAAAUCCCCGGGCUCAACCUGGGAACUGCACUUCAGACUGGCGGACUAGAGUGUAGUAGAGGGAGGCGGAAUUUCCUGUGUAGCGGUGAAAUGCGUAGAUAUAGGAAGGAACACCAGUGGCGAAGGCGGCCUCCUGGACUAACACUGACGCUGAGGCGCGAAAGCGUGGGGAGCAAACAGGAUUAGAUACCCUGGUAGUCCACGCCGUAAACGAUGAGAACUAGCCGUUGGGCCCCUUGAGGGUUUAGUGGCGCAGCUNACGCGAUAAGUUCUCCGCCUGGGGAGUACNGCCGCAAGGUUAAAACUCAAAUGAAUUGACGG